GCCGCGGGCAGGGGACGCACGGCGGAGGCCGCAAAGGAGCGGGGGGGAAACAGGGACCGGCUGGACACAAGUAUCUAAGGCUGAGGAAAAUCUGAGGGUCUCAAAAAUACGACACAGGCACAGGUUGCCCAGAGAAGCUCUAGAUGCCCCAUCUCUGGAAGUGCUCAAAACCAGGCUGGAUGGGACUCUGAGCAACCUGGCCUACUGGAAGGCAUUCCUGCCCAUGGCAGGGGUUUGGAACAAGAUGGUCUUUAAGGUUUUUUCCAACCCAAACUGCUCUAUGACUCUGUGAUUCUGUUACAGGCCUCUUCCCACCAUCAGCUUCAGCAGCAGUUUGCAGCCAUACCUAAGGAGGGAGGCGAGGUCUCCAAGUUUUGCUGAACUUCCACUGUUAUCAUCAUACAGUUUGUGAUUUUCAGAGCCUUCUGUGGUUCUUCAUGACAGGUUUCAUGCUAUUACCCAAACAUUUCCACUUCAAUUUUCAAACAUAGAUGCAUUAGUAGAGAAGCUUUUCUCUCUUCUGUUGACUGCAGGUAAAAGCUGGAGCAGAGGCACCCUGAAGCUGCCAUGCUGGAGAAAUAUCCUGAGCAAUAUGCUUCUCAGAUCCCUAGAACUAGAUGAUCUUUAAGGUCCCUUCCAACCCCAAACAUUCUGUGAUUCUGUGGUUCUAGGUCACGGUCACCUCCUUUGCCUGUGCUGGAGGAGAUGGAAAGAUCAGUCCCUGUCUCCUGCCAUGACAAGCACGCCAUUGUACAUGUGAUACAGGGGGCUAUAUUCCACCACCAAGGAGACUCAAGCGCCACCAGCUCAAUCUGAAGACCUGGUCAUCCUGCAAUGUGCUUGCCGCAGCUCUUAACAUAGACCUCAGCAUGUGGAUGCUGGGUCUGCAAGGAGGGACAGACUUCAUCAUCUUACAAAAAGGCUGGUCUUCCAGAGACUUUAAUAAUUAAAACUUAUUAAUGUGUUUAUAGUUGA